GUGCUCUCUUCAGUAGCACACAUACUAAAAUUGGAAUGAUAUAGAGAAGACUAGCAUGGCCCCUGCAUAAGGAUGACUUGCAAAUUUGUGAAGCGUUCUGUAUUUUU
ensembl:snRNA U6 U6 spliceosomal RNA